rnacentral:rRNA from 1 species
GACAGAGGCCUCAAGCGUUUAGGCGGAAUCACUGGGCUUAAAGCGUGUGUAGGCGGGUCGUUAAGUACCUUGUGAAAUCCCACGGCUCAACCGUGGAACUGCUUGGUAUACUGGGUAUCUUGAGCCACUUAGGGGCAACCGGAACAAACGGUGGAGCGGUGAAAUGCGUAGAUAUCGUUUGGAACGCCAAUGGUGAAAACAGGUUGCUGGGACGUUACUGACGCUGAGACGCGAAAGCGUGGGGAGCAAA